UAUCUCUGUAGAGUCUGCAUAUCAAUAAGCGGAGGAAAAGAAACUAACUAGGAUUCCCUCAGUAACGGCGAGUGAAGCGGGAAGAGCUCAAAUUUGAAAUCUUCAAGGUUCUACCUUGACGAAUUGUAGUUUAAAGAAGUGUUUUCUGUUGGAAUUUUGGUAAAAGUUCUUUGGAAAUAGGACAUCAGAGAGGGUGAGAAUCCCGUAUUUGACCAUUAUUUCCAACUUUGUGAUACACUUUCAAAGAGUCGGAUUGGUUGGGAAUGCAGUCCAAAAUGGGUGGUAAGUUUCAUCUAAAGCUAAAUACUGGCGAGAGACCGAUAGCGAACAAGUACCGUGAGGGAAAGAUGAAAAGAACUUUGAAAAGAGAGUUAAACAGUACGUGAAAUUGUCAAAAGGGAAGCGUUUGACACCAGUGUUGUUUUCUCGAAAAUCAAUUAAAAAUGGCGGGAUUUUGUGUUGUAUUGACUUUAUCAGCUUUCUGCACUUUUUUCUUGUCUUUUUUAAUGCACUUUUCGUUUAACAAGUCAACAUCAAUUUCUUUUGUUGUAAAAGGGUCAUUGGAAGGUGGCUUUCUUCUCGGAGAAAGUGUUUAUAGCCUUUGACUUCUGCAAUCGGAGAGAUUGAGGUCUGCAGCGUAGAUCCUUCGGGGUUAGACGCAUUUGUGCUAAGUUAUAGCCUUUCAUAGACAACUUGUUGACUAUGAUCAGUCAUGUAGCCUACUCGCUUAUGUUAUUUUACCUACGCUUAGGAUGUUGAUCUCUCACAGUCGAGC
rnacentral:rRNA from 1 species